rnacentral:rRNA from 1 species
UACAUGGGGUGCAAACGUUGCUCGGAAUUAUUGGGCGUAAAGCGCACGUAGGCGGUUUGUUAAGUCGGAUGUGAAAUCCCUCGGCUCAACUGAGGAAGUGCACCCGAAACUGGAAGGCUUGAGUGUGGCAGAGGGGGUGGAAUUCCACGUGUAGCAGUGAAUGCGUAGAUAUGUGGAGGAACACCGAUGCGAAGCAGCCCCUGGCUAACACUGACGCUCAUGCACGAAGCGUGGGAGCAACAG